CUCAGGACGAACGCUGGCGGCGUGCCUAAUACAUGCAAGUCGAACGAACUUUCAUCGAGUGCUUGCACUUGAUGAAAGUGAGUGGCGGACGGGUGAGUAACACGUGGGUAACCUGCCCAAAGCGGGGAAUAACAUUUGGAAACAGAUGCUAAUACCGCAUAACAACGAAGACCACAUGGUCUUCGUUUGAAAGACGGCGUAAGCUGUCACUUUGGGAUGGACCCGCGGCGUAUUAGCUAGUUGGUAAGGUAACGGCCUACCAAGGCGAUGAUACGUAGCCGACCUGAGAGGGUAAUCGGCCACAUUGGGACUGAGACACGGCCCAAACUCUACGGGAGGCAGCAGUAGGGAAUCUUCCACAAUGGACGAAAGUCUGAUGGAGCAACGCCGCGUGAGUGAAGAAGGUUUUCGGAUCGUAAAACUCUGUUGUUAGAGAAGAACGUGGGUGAGAGUAACUGCUCAUCCAGUGACGGUAUCUAACCAGAAAGCCACGGCUAACUACGUGCCAGCAGCCGCGGUAAUACGUAGGUGGCAAGCGUUGUCCGGAUUUAUUGGGCGUAAAGCGAGCGCAGGCGGUCUUUUAAGUCUGAUGUGAAAGCCCUCGGCUCAACUGAGGAAGUGCAUCGGAAACUGGAAGACUUGAAUGCAGAAGAGGAGAGUGGAACUCCAUGUGUAGCGGUGAAAUGCGUAGAUAUAUGGAAGAACACCAGUGGCGAAGGCGGCUCUCUGGACUGUGAUUGACGCUGAGGCUCGAAAGCGUGGGUAGCAAACAGGAUUAGAUACCCUGGUAGUCCACGCCGUAAACGAUGAAUACUAAGUGUUCGAGGGUUUCCGCCCUUCAGUGCUGCAGCUAACGCAUUAAGUAUUCCGCCUGGGGAGUACGACCGCAAGGUUGAAACUCAAAGGAAUUGACGGGGGCCCGCACAAGGUGGAGCAUGUGGUUUAAUUCGAAGCAACGCGAAGAACCUUACCAGGUCUUGACAUCUUCUGCUAUCUCUAGAAAUAGAGAGUUCCCUUCGGGGACAGAAUGACAGGUGGUGCAUGGUUGUCGUCAGCUCGUGUCGUGAGAUGUUGGGUUAAGUCCCGCAACGAGCGCAACCCUUAUUAUUAGUUGCCAGCAUUCAGUUGGGCACUCUAGUGAGACUGCCGGUGACAAACCGGAGGAAGGUGGGGAUGACGUCAAAUCAUCAUGCCCCUUAUGACCUGGGCUACACACGUGCUACAAUGGAUGGUACAACGAGUCGCUAAACCGCGAGNNNNAGCUAAUCUCUUAAAACCAUUCUCAGUUCGGAUUGCAGGCUGCAACUCGCCUGCAUGAAGUCGGAAUCGCUAGUAAUCGCGGAUCAGCACGCCGCGGUGAAUACGUUCCCGGGCCUUGUACACACCGCCCGUCACACCAUGAGAGUUUGUAACACCCGAAGUCGGUGGGGCAACCCGUAVNNVGGCUAGCCGCCUAAGGUGGGACAGAUGAUUAGGGUGAAGUCGUAA
rnacentral:rRNA from 1 species